rnacentral:rRNA from 1 species
AUUGAACGCCGGCGGCAGGCCUAACACAUGCAAGUCGAGCGGAUGAAGGGAGCUUGCUCCUGGAUUCAGCGGCGGACGGGUGAGUAAUGCCUAGGAAUCUGCCUGGUAGUGGGGGAUAACGUCCGGAAACGGGCGCUAAUACCGCAUACGUCCUGAGGUAGAAAGUGGGGGAUCUUCGGACCUCACGCUAUCAGAUGAGCCUAGGUCGGAUUAGCUAGUUGGUGGGGUAAAGGCCUACCAAGGCGACGAUCCGUAACUGGUCUGAGAGGAUGAUCAGUCACACUGGAACUGAGACACGGUCCAGACUCCUACGGGAGGCAGCAGUGGGGAAUAUUGGACAAUGGGCGAAGGCCUGAUCCAGCCAUGCCGCGUGUGUGAAGAAGGUCUUCGGAUUGUAAAGCACUUUAAGUUGGGAGGAAGGGCAGUAAGUUAAUACCUUGCUGUUUUGACGUUACCAACAGAAUAAGCACCGGCUAACUUCGUG